UGCAGGAAUUGCAUCCAGCAAUUGUGCGAGAGCCAAAGAGGGUUACACCAGAUCGUCUUUACGACAUGAACACAUCGUUGCUAAGAGGCACACAUUGAAAAGUUUGAUAGGGCUAAUCAAGGUGCAGAAUCAACCAUACCAAGACGAGCAGUUCACUAGCCAGGGAAAAGGUUGAAGUAAUUGUUUUCGAAGAAUCCGACAAACACAAGUGAAGUUGUGGCCAAAGGAACUUUAGUGAAUAAACAUAUCACAUAUGUGGUUUGAGGAAGCAUGCUUGGAGAGCAAUAUGUUGGUGUUUCUGUUCAUGACAGCAUUUCAAAUCUUGACAAUGCGAGACUUAUUAGAUUGUAUGAAAAGAAUCCAAUCCAGACAGUAAGGUUUACUAUUGAUUAUGUUAUUGCUUGGCCUCGAUCACAUGUCAAAAAUACCCGAGCCAAUCGCUCCAACCACACUACAAAAACAUCCCUACUCCAACACAACCAGAAAACACCGG